rnacentral:rRNA from 1 species
GACGAACGCUGGCGGCGUGCCUAAUACAAGCAAGUAGAACGCUGAAGAGAGGAGCUUACUCUUCUUGGAUGAGUUGCGAACGGGUGAGUAACGCGUAGGUAACCUGCCUUGUAGCGGGGGAUAACUAUUGGAAACGAUAGCUAAUACCGCAUAACAAUGGAUGACACAUGUCAUUUAUUUGAAAGGGGCAAUUGCUCCACUACAAGAUGGACCUGCGUUGUAUUAGCUAGUCGGUGAGGUAAUGGCUCACCUAGGCGACGAUACAUAGCCGACCUGAGAGGGUGAUCGGCCCCCCUGGGACUGAGACACGGCCCAGACUCCUACGGGAGGCAGCAGUAGGGAAUCUUCGGCAAUAGGGGCAACCCUGACCGAGCAACGCCGCGUGAGUGAAGAAGGUUUUCGGAUCGUAAAGCUCUGUUGUAAGUCAAGAACGGGUGUGAGAGUGGAAAGUUCACACUGUGACGGUAGCUUACCAGAAAGGGACGGCUAACUACGUG